GCCGCCGGGCUCAGCCAAUACCACAGCCGCCCAAAGCUCUAGAAAGUCGUUAGGGUUUAUAGCAAACGCAAUGAAGCGCAAAGACAGUUUCAUCCAGUUCUUCGCAAUGACAGGGAUACUGCUUUUGAGUAUCAGAUCCUUAGGUCAAAAGUACCGUCUCCAUGACCUUCAGGAAGACACUUCAGCUCUUAAGCAAGAGCAGCAACCCCUAACCGAUCGAUUGAAUAACAUCAAG
rnacentral:misc_RNA from 1 species